UACAGAGGGUGCAAGCGUUUGUUCGGAAUUAUUGGGCGUAAAGCGCGUGUAGGCGGCUUUGCAAGUCGGGUGUGAAAGCCCUCAGCUCAACUGAGGAAGUGCGCCCGAAACUGCAGAGCUUGAGUGCCGGAGAGGGUGGCGGAAUUCCCCAAGUAGAGGUGAAAUUCGUAGAUAUGGGGAGGAACACCGGUGGCGAAGGCGGCCACCUGGACGGUAACUGACGCUGAGACGCGAAAGCGUGGGUAGCAAACAGGG
rnacentral:rRNA from 1 species